UAUAUCGUGUGUACACUGUUUGUUACAAAGAGAGGACCGCAAUCAGGUGUUUGAGAAAUCAACAGAUAUGUCUGUGAUUGGCUACAUUGCUCAAUGCUACAAAAACACAAACUAGGAACGUUCAAUGCUCUCCAGAGCGCAAACACAAACACAAACACGCACUGGAGAGUUGCUAAAUCGAAAUCGCCAAUAUCAUAUUACAUUUUCAACUGAGGACUCUAAUCACUGCGUGCAAAACUGACAAGUGGCGUAAGAACAGUGUCAGUUGUUGUGAGUUUCACUGAAUGCAUAAGAGUUUGUAGCCUUUUUUUUUUUUUUUUUUUUUUUUUUUUUUUGACGCCUUUGAUGAUUCUGCAUAACUGACAGCUCUCUGAAUGCAAACUUUCUGUUCUCUUUUCUAUAUGUGAACGGAAGUUAUUUCUGUCUCGUCGAGCUGGUGAUGAAAAGGUUCUGGAACAUUUGCUGUUUUCAGAAGAGCAAUGAGCUGCCAAUACAGUCUUUUAUUUCUAUUCCUCUCUGGCUUUGCUGCGCUCUAUGCUGCAGAGAUAUGUAAAACAGAUCUACUAGAGGGAACGUCCUGCACCAUCAAACUGAAAACAAAAAACAAUCACAGACCUAAUGAGAUUAUAUGGACCCAUCUCUCUAGUUAUGAUUUAAUUCACAAGAAAAAAUGGGAAGAUCAAGACAAACACUCUAGGUGGAAAAAUGGAAGAAGAUGGAUCAUUGACAUUUCAAAAUAUUAUGUCUGAAAAACUCAGGCAAAUAUAAAUACACUUUUUAUGCUAAUGAUGGUACAGAGACCAGAGGAGAAGAGGAAAUUAAAGUUUAUGGUAAGAAAACAAAUAUUUGUACCCUUCCAACACAACGCAAAGAAUAACACAAUAAUAUUUAGUUUCAGUAGUAGAAAAUAACCAUGUUUCUGUCACAGAAAAGGCUCCUAAACCUACUCUGACAAUGACGAUAAACUGCAAAGAUGAGAACGCUACACUCUCCUGUGACUUUGGAGACCGUACAGAUCUGACUGUAUCCUGGUAUAAAGAAGACAAUAUCAUCCAGAAUAAAAACAACCCAGAACUGCUCUUGACAUCUGCUCACAUUCAGGAGAAUAAAACAUACUCGUGCAGUGUAAGCAAUCCUGUCAGCAACGAGCAAAGUAACAGCGUUACAGUAUCAUGUGAAGAUGACCCAGGUCCUCGUAAACUCUUUGUGUGUUUGUAUUUUCAACAAAAGGGAGACAAACUAUGAAGCUGACGCUGUUCUUGUUGAGCUUUAAAAGUCCACACCACAAUCCUCCACAGUCAUAUUACAUUUGUUCAUUUAGCAGAUGCUUUUAUUCAAUGUAAUAAUAGGAGUAUAAUAAUAUAAAGUCAUAUAAAUACAAUUAGAAUUUAAUGCAAUGAACCUAUAAAGGAAUCUUCUCAAAGAUGGGUUAUUUGCUUUAAGUAACCUGCAAUUGCACAGGAAAUUCAAAGGCUUUUACAACAGGUUCCUGUUGUUACGGUAAGCAAGGACAGGAGGCUGUAAUAACAGGAGAACACGGUUUAUUGAGGCACAAGCAGAGGAGCAGGUAGUGAACAGUGAGGUAAUGGUGCUGGAGGUAGUGGUGAUGAUUGGAUCCGUUGGUGGAGAACACAAGACGCUGGAGGUAGUGGACACGCACACGCACAUGCACACGAUGGAGACUUGGAGAUACUGGCGAUCGCUGGAGAGAGGUAAGCAGAGCGAUAGGUUAGUCCUUAGAGUAAGCAUACAGGUUAGACCUUGUUGCAAAUGAGACCGGACGCUGACUGGGUGCGUGUGUGUGGUUUUUAUGGGGAGUGAUGAUUGCCAGUGGAUUAGGACCAGGUGGGAGUGAUUAGUACUCAGGUGAGGUAGUGCGCUGUGAUUGGUUGGUGAUGGAACCUGGCGUGUCUGUUACAGCAGUGACUGCCGAUAUGUUUUAGAAGAGAGUUUAAUAUUUUACUCUUUGUUUUUUAAGGUUUUAAAUGGGCUAAACUUGUGACUGCUAGAUGUUUAAGGUCAUCAAAUCAGAAACUGUUAAAGGUUCCCAGGUCACAGUGACAGCUUUUCUAAGAACCCACACUUUUAAAAAUAAGUUUAUUUGUCCAACUGAUUCGUGCAGAUUUAAUUUAAACUUUACUGGGUUUCCCGAAUGCGGGGGUUCAUGAGUUGAUGGAAAGCUAAUAAAUCAUUUUAACUGAAUGUAAAUUUAAAAUAG
ensembl:lncRNA